GACGAACGCUGGCGGCGUGCUUAACACAUGCAAGUCGAACGGAAAGGCCCUGCUUUUGUGGGGUGCUCGAGUGGCGAACGGGUGAGUAACACGUGAGUAACCUGCCCUUGACUUUGGGAUAACUUCAGGAAACUGGGGCUAAUACCGGAUAGGAGCUCCUGCUGCAUGGUGGGGGUUGGAAAGUUUCGGCGGUUGGGGAUGGACUCGCGGCUUAUCAGCUUGUUGGUGGGGUAGUGGCUUACCAAGGCUUUGACGGGUAGCCGGCCUGAGAGGGUGACCGGCCACAUUGGGACUGGGAUACGGCCCGGACGCCUACGGGAGGCAGCAGUGGGGAAUAUUGCACAAUGGGCGGAAGCCUGAUGCAGCAACGCCGCGUGCGGGAUGACGGCCUUCGGGUUGUAAACCGCUUUCGCCUGUGACGAAGCGUGAGUGACGGUAAUGGGUAAGAAGCACCGGCUAACUACGUG
rnacentral:rRNA from 1 species